rnacentral:lncRNA from 1 species
UGGAUCAUCCACAAUCGAUUGUCAAAGCCAAACAAUAGAUUGUUUGGUUUUAUGAAAAAUUUUUAAGUUACUGGACCAUCCACAAUCGAUUGUCAAAGCCAAACAAUCGAUUGUUUGGUUUUAUGAAAUUUUUCUGGACCAUUCACAACCGAUUGUCAAAUCCAGACAAUCGAUUGUUUGGUUUUAUGAAAGUUACUGGACCAUCCACAAUCGAUUGUCGAAGCCAUACAAUCGAUUGUUUGGUUUUAUGAAAAAUUUGUUACUGGAGAGGUUUCAACUCACUGGACCUUGAACAAUCGAUUGUCAGAACCUGACAAUCGAUUGUCAGAAUCUGACAAUCGAUUGUCAGAACCUGACAAUCGAUUGUCAGAAGCUGACAAUCGAUUGU